AUACGUAGGGGGCGAGCGUUGUCCGGAUUUAUUGGGCGUAAAGGGUGCGUAGGCGGCCUUGUAAGUCAGAUGUGAACGAUCAUGGCUUAAAUGUGGUAAGCAUUUGAAACUGCAGGACUUGAGUGCUGGAGGGGAUAGCGGAAGUCCUAGUGGAGCGGUAAAAUGCGCAGAUCUUAGGAAGAACACCGGUGGCGAAGGCGGCUAUCAGGACAGUAACUGACGCUGAGGCGCGAAAUCGUGGGGAGCAAACAGGAUUAGAUACCCGGGUAGUCCACGCCGUAAACGAUGAAUACUAGGUGUAGGGGGUAUCGACUCCCUCUGUGCCGCAGUUAACACAAUAAGUAUUCCGCCUGGGGAGUACGGCCGCAAGGUUGAAACUCAAAGGAAUUGACGGGG
rnacentral:rRNA from 1 species